rnacentral:rRNA from 1 species
AUGAGGACCCAAAUCCAUCCAAGAGCUCGAGAAGUAAUUAAAAAAAAGAACUUCUGCUCGUCUUCUCGGCGGCUGCAACAGCGACCAUCGGCCGGCGCCUCUCCGAAUCGCCGGCCAUCGAUUCAGAUGAGCCGCCGCCGUCACCCGCCGUCGCUAGCGCCGGCGGCCCCACUGGACGACGAGGACCUCCUCCGCCUCCAUCAGCAGCCAUCCUCCCUCGCCCGCGCCUCCUCGGUCUGCACGCGCUGGCGCGGCAUCCUCUCCGACCCCCAAUUCCUCAAACGCUUCCGCAAACACCAUGGAAAACCUCUGCUCCUCGGCUUCUUCGCGGGGCCUGUUUUCAGAGACCACGUCUUCACUCCCGUCCCGGACUCGCCCGACCGCAUCCUUGUCGCACGCUUCUCCAUGACCAUGCCACAGAGCCACAACCCCUUCGACCGCUGGGACUUGGUCGGCUGCCGCCACGGCCUCGCCGUCCUGAUCAACAAGUGCCGGAAGGAGGUUGUCGUAUCGGAUCCCCUAACCGGCCGGCAGCAGUGCGUGCGUUUUCCACCGGGGCUCUGCGACGCCCUAUGGGGGAUUUUUUGUGACUGGCACGGAGCGGUGCUGUGCGCUGACGGCGAAGAUGGGCAUGUGCAUGGCGAUUGCCUAUCGAGCCCGUUCAAAUUGAUCUUGAUACGCAACGAAGACAUGCGGACAUUCGGCUCUCUCUACGACUCGGUGUCUCGUGUUUGGGGAAAUAUUUUCUCGGCGACUACAAAUAGUAUUUGUAGUAUAAGGUCCAGCAUUCUUGCCGGGAAUGCACUUUGCUGGUUGAUUUCGGGAGGUGCUGUCCUUGUGUUUGAUUUGGAAAUGCAGAACCUUAGCGUGAUCGAGAAGCCAGCAGAAAACCAUGUUAUCACUAGCUGGUGUUUGCAGCUAGUAUGGAUGGAGGAUGGCGGACUUGGCCUCGCUGUUUUGUCGGAGCUGACUGUCCAAUUAUGGGUGAGGAAAUCUAACCAUGAUGGUUUUGUCGGAUGGGUGUUGCUGCAGAAAACCAUUCCACUGGAGGGGAUGUUUAAACGGAGAAUGUGUAGUGACCGCACUCUUUGUGGGGUAUGA